rnacentral:tRNA from 1 species
GGGGAAGUAGCUCAGUUGGGAGAGCGCCGCAUUCGCAUUGCGGAGGUCGAGAGUUCAAAUCUCUUCUUCUCCACCA